CUAAUGCAAGUAGCUGUAAGAGCAGUUGGAAGUCUGACAACGAGCAUUAAUUUUAAUGAAAUAAUUCCCUUUGGCACCCAGGUAACCAGAAACGGUCUAGGUCAGGUGCUAGGAAACACUGCAGAGGACGCCGUCAGCAGGAAGACACACUUCUCCAUGAACAUCGCCAUCCAGGAAGCGAGCUGUGCCUACAGAGUGCUGGGCCCCGAGGAGGCCUGGCACUGGGAAAUGGAUCAAUCCUUCCUCUUAAGAAACACUUGAGAAGCACAUAGGCAACUAUUUCAUAGGAGAAUGAAUAACAAGAAAGAAAGAAAAAGAAAACACAGAAGGGGUAACAGAGAAACUGACUUCCACAGACCUAGAGGGAAACGGUUGUUUUUUUAACGGAGGUAGAACAGAUUCGGAGCGCCUUCGAAGAAGAAAGAAGAGCCCCUGACCACACACUGUCCAGAGACGUGGAUCAGGAGGAGUGCCCAGGUUAACCGGCAAGACGAGAGUAAUCAGCGAUUCGGUGAUGAGGCAGGGGCAGGAGGGUGGCUGUCCAAUCGCCUACGCGGAAGGACGUGGAGGAUCAUUCUGCAUCAGAGCAGGUCCGUGUUGGGGCAAGAACAGUCCAGAGGGAAACCCCAAGACAAAGUCCCCGAGGCGGGAGCAUCCCUGGCGUGAAUCAGGGAGACAGAGCAGAUCAGAGCGAAGUCGGAGAAGCAGUGGCCUUGAACGAUACUCAUCUGGAGGCUACAGACAUGGUUGUGUGAAGCUGACAGAUAGGAUCAUCUGUUUGAAUGCCUCUGGACACCGUGGGAAGACAAAAAAGAUAACUAUUAAAGAAUAUCAAGAGAUUUUGCUCUUGGAGACAUUCAGUCUGUCUUCCCAAGUAGAUCUGAAGCUCCAAGAGGACAGGAACCUGGGCCUAUAGCCAUGCGUGGUGCCUUGUGGGCACACAAUAAAUGCGUAUGGUUUACCCAGGCCCACAGAGUAAGCCAAUAUGAACUAAUUGAGCCACACAAUGAGAUGAGGAACUAAGAUAACAAUACCACUCGAUGAUGAGUAUUUAAAAGAACACUAAAUACUAAAUACUAAAGAAUACUAAAGAAAGAGUGCCUUGUAAGUAAACCACAAAGCUGCUUUCUUCUAAACGGCCAGCGUUGCUUAUCUACUGUGCCGUGUCUCUUUUCAAUGGAAAUGAUGUACUGAUAACUCAUAGGCGAAUAAUUUCCUUCCAAGAGCCAUAACUGCCCUUGAGGUUGCUAUCACAGGUGCAGGCUGUUUAGACCAGCAAUAAUUCCAGGACUGAAGACGGAGCAGGGAAGAUGCAGCACACGGUGUGUUUACUCCUGCUGUUUAUACAGAAAUAGUUCUUUAAAUGAGCAUCACAUACGAUCUUGUCAUCAUUAUUGAACAACUUCAUAUCCCACCAUCAACAUUGGUUAAAAACAAAAGAAAGAAUGAGUCUCCACCCGCACAGGUGUGCACAGUCCACUCUCGGGCUUGUGGACAGGAAGGAGGAGCAGAGGAUGCUGCUGAUGCUGCCGGAGCCAGGGGUCCUGAAACCACAACCACAUGGCGGCUUCUGUCGUUGGCCUGUUGAUGGCAUCAUAUUUUUGGUCAAAGUAAAGAUGAGGAUUGAGGGAAUUGCUUAGAGACUUCUGGCAAAAUUGGACAUAUUCUCUCAAUUAUUAGAAUAAUGGGCACAGCUUGAAAGAUUCCAAUUGUGGUAAAGAUGGAUGAACUCUUGAAAAAGGAGAUCUCUCACAGAGCCAAUGAUCAUCUCUGCCUUGAGAAUGUGUGUGUGGUCUGGGGGCAUCUCCGAACCACGAUCUUGUGAGGUGGGUUCAGACUGGUGAAGAGCGCAUGGUCAGAGAGCUUGGAUGAGAA
rnacentral:lncRNA from 1 species